AACACGGUUUCUGGGGUGGUUUUGAAUUAAUCCCACAUUUCUGUACAUAUUUUUUCGUUUUUGUACAUAUUUUUAGUGCCUACGAACAGUCUAUUACCAAGACGUGUAUGUUGAAUAAAUUGCAUACUCGACAGUUUCAAGGUGUGUACUGUGUUUUAAAUUUUAUUAACUAAGAAGAAUGAAAAAAUUGAACAUGGAUAGAACUUGAAUUUAUUUAUUACGAAACAAAAAAUUUGAGUAGGUACAUUUGUUAGUAGGUAAGUAUAUAUUACAUAUUUUUAAAAAUUGAAAUGUAUUAUAAAAUAUGGCUCAAUAAAAAUUAAAUAGAGUUGGAAAUUUCAUUUUUCAUACAUUUGCUUUAUCAGGUUUUCCAUUUCUAAAUCGUCAUCUUGAAGUUCUUUUAACACAAGCUUAUGUUCAUUUUCUGUCUCUGUGUAAGUUUUACAUUUGCAGUAACAUUGACCAUAUGCUCCGCAUUUGAAGCACCCAACAGCAUCUACCUCAGUUUCAUUCAAUUGGAAGCAUUCUUUUCCACAACAGUAAAUUGGUUUUCUCAAUCGUUUAUGUGUACCUGAUGUUGUUUUAUCUGCGUUUUCAUCUGGUAACUGUUGAUUGUUUUCAGGACUUGUAGUCUGUUCAUCUGUGUUUUUAUCUGUCAACUCUUGAUUGCUGUUUUCAGGAUGUUCCUCAUUAUUGAUCCAUGUUCUAUAUUUCUGAACAUUGAUGUAGGCACAUGCAAAUGAUAAAUGGUUACCAAUUGGAUGAUGAACAGCUACUUUACAAUCCAGGUAAUGUGUUAAAAAGGGUAACUCCUUUGUAGGUGGGCAGUUUAGGCUGUUUAGAUCAAUUGUUGUUCGGUUUAAAAGCUCUUCUAAAGCUUUACAUUUUUCUUUACCUUUUAAGUAAAUUUUUGUAGCAUGAAACAAAAACAAUUUUAUAAGUUUCACGACAUGAUGUAGUUGCAUAUUGCCAUCUUCCCACUUUAGUCCAUGGUAAUUUUUUUGUAACCAUGCGACUUCUUUUCUUCUUACCUCUGGAAGUUGGGUGAUUGAAUAUGGAGGACUCACUAUGAAACACGUUGGAUCAUCUUUUCCAUCUCUGGAUACUAUUGCAAAUUCUUUGAUUAUAAAAUUAUUUAAUUGAUCUCUAAAUCCCAAGAAAUCAACAAUGAACUCCCUCUCGAAAGCAGAAGUAGGAGGCACCCAUACUGAUGGAAAAGUAUUUUUUUUCUCUAAUUUUUUAUCGCUAGAUCCGAAUCCUUGCUCUUGUCUUUCUGUAUCAUUUAAUUUCUGUAAGUUUAAAACAAAUCAUUAGUGCUUGAGUCAGCAAAAGUUUUCAGAAAUAUUAAGGGAGGAUACAUUAAAACACUGAAAAAGCAGAUACCAUAAAUAAAUAAUAAAAUAAAAAACUUGGUUCAUCUAUAGUGAUACUUACAUCACUCUCUUCUAAUUCAGGAUGAAGUAUUAGCUCAAUAAUAAGUUGAGCUACCUUGUCACCCUUUUUGAUUUUAAAAUCUUCAUUAUUAUGAUUGUGAAUAAUUAUUUGAAUAUUUCCCCUGUAAUCUUCGUCAAUCACGCCACCUACAGAAUUGUAAGAGAACUUUGUUCAAGAAAUUCAUUACAAUAAUUUAAAAGAUACUUUAGUUAGAUAGGUACCUACCUCCAAUAUCAAUAAAGUGAUUUAGUGCCAAACUAGAUCUUGGAGCUAUUCUACCAUAGCAGUUGUUAGGCAUUUGAAGUUGUAAAUCUGUUUUAAUUAAUUCCCUUCCUUUUGCAGGAACAAUAUAAUCAUAUGCACUAAAUUAAAAAAAAAACAUUGAAAAAAUAAAUCAGUAGGUACUUUAAAAAAGAAGAAAGGGAUAUGAAUAAAAAAUUUUAAAAAUAGGUAUAUUGGAAAAAAUCAGCAAGACUUGAAAAAAUAAGUGUGUAGGUUUAAAUAAAGAAUUGAAAAAAAAAAGAAGAAAUAAAUAUAGUAGAAGAAAAAAAAUUACAUACCUCUUCAAAUCAUAACCAGCUGAUUUUAAAGUUGCUUUUGUUGGAACAAAUGCGUUUUCUGACAUCUUUACAAAUUUUAAUACAUUAGCCAUGGUAUGAAAAAAAUAUUACACAACUUUUUUCAAAAAUACCUGAUCACAAUUGAAAUGUUCGAAAUUUAUAUAAAUUCACUUCAAAUUAAACACACUGAACUGUCUAAAAUACAGAUACUGGUAUAGGUAGGUACUGUGUAUUUGCAAGGCUUUAUAUACUAGAAAUCUUCAGUCAACUUUACAUGACCUCAAAUUUUCCCCAGAAAAUUAUUUCAUUAAAUCCAGUAAAAAUUACGAUGAAACAGAUUUUCGUAAGUUUAUUUACUCAACUUUCAUAACCUUACCUACAUACUUUCAAUGAUGCAAUUUUUAUGAUGUGGGUAUUAUAGGUGAUCAUCAAACUAAAGAAAACCAAGUCUUAAAACAGGUUCAGAAUAGACUUACAUUUUUUUAUUAUGUUGCACUCUCGGAUCUUGCAUUUUUUGUGCAUUCUACAUACCUAUAUCUUAACAGUGUUUAGAAGGUUGUUAUAGUUACCUACCUUGAUUAUUUUGUUUUGCUAUAAAUUAGGCAAGAACAGUAUUACACAAAGUGAAUCAACAGACAUGAAAUAUAAAUAGGUACCUUACACAAAAUUUAUGAGAAAAAAAAAUCCGUUCAUUUUAGUAGGGAGAACGACUACAAUUUAUAAUAUAAAUACGAGAAUGAACUGCAUAGUAAAAUUAAUUUCUGUGUUGUUGUUAGUUUGGUGGUGUUUGUAUAGUAAUUUCGUGAUACCUAUCUUAUUAUUUUCAUUUUUCAUCAUGUCUUCUCUAGAUAUAACUGAAAUUUUCAACACUUUUUUAACAAGAAUUUUUGAUGGUGAACUUUAUAUAAAAAAGUUGAUUUUAAGGAAGCCAUUUACUCGUACAGAAUUCCAGGAAAUACUAGAGAAAUUUAAGGACCUAAAAAUGAAGGAACUCAUUCCAUUUGAGAUGGAGUCUGCAGUUGAAGGUUGUUUGGAAACUCUGAGAAAAGAGAUGAUAGAGGAGGAACGGAGAAUUGUAAUUCAACAAUUUGAAGAUUCUAUUAAGCGAGCUGUGGAGUCUGCAAUGAAACUGGUCUACUCCCCACAUCCAGAGGUACCAUCAUAUUCAAUAUGAUUUUUAAAAAAUUAUUUCAUCAUUGAUUUUUCAAUAUUACAAGUACAUUUUAUUCAUAUGUAGGUACCUACUCAUUUUUUUCUUACUGUUACUAUUUUAUUCAUGGUGAAUUUGUAAUUAUGCACUAUACCUAAUGAAAAUAAAUUUUUUUAAAAACAACUUUGUGCUUUUUUUUUUCAAUUUGAAAAUAACACAGACUGAUAUAUGUGUAGUAUACCUACCUAAAAAAAGUUCAAUUUGGACAUGUUCCUGAUACAUAAAAAAAUUUCUGUAACAAUUUUAUAGUUUAUUGAUGAUUAUGGAUUACAUUAAAAAAAAAAAAAAAAAAUACAUUAUCAUUCUUAGCUUAGUCAACAUAAUCGGAUACAUUAAUCCAACUGUUUUCUGAUAUAGGUAAACCCAGCCAUUUCACUCUGAUUUUGUUAUUUUUUCUUCGAAUUAUCUUCUCAAUUAAAUGAACUUGAGGGUGUUUAGCUUUGAUAAUUUCUUCACGGUAAAAAGAUCCUUGUAUAGGUUGUUUUCUCAAAUCUUCCAACACGUAAGUAGUAGGAUAUGAUACAUUUUGAAUUUUUUUUAUUCUAAAAACUUCAUUUGAAUAGUUUUGAUGGUAGGCCUUGUCAAAUUUCCCACGAGAGAAAGAUAUCCGAACUAGGUCAUUUUUUUUAAACUUUUCUGAUAGAUAUUUUCGUUUUGGGGCUGUGUUUUUCAAAAUAUUUUUCAAAACGUCAAUUUCAUUGCUAAAAUUGACAUCUAUAGGUCUGUAUUUGGUAGUGUGAUGAAUAGUUUUGUUGUACAAAUUAACAACUUCAGGUAAUACUUUCAGGUAUCUAAAAGAACCCUGUUUAGCCAUUUCUUUAUAAAGAGCAGUUUUUAAGGUUCUUAUCACUCUUUCUACAAUUGAAGCUUUUAUUACAGAAUAUGUACUGUAAUGAUUAAUGUUGUAUUUUUUGUAAAUUUUUUCACAUUCUCUGUUGAAAAAUUCUUUCCCAUCAUCAGUUUGUAAAUUUUUUGGGGGGUUUGCUCUGAUGAAUAUUUUUUCUAAAGCAGAUGUUACAUCUGUCAUUUUCUUGCUUUUCAAUGGUUCAGUAUAUACCAUUUUAGAAAAACAAUUUAUGACAACUAAAAUAUACAUGUACUUAUUAUUUAUAUUAGCAUAUUUUUGCAUAUCUAUCAAAUCUGCAGCAUACAAAUCAUACAAAGAUCUAAUUUCUACAUGUCUACGAGUAUAAUUUUUUCUUGCUGGACUGUACAAUUGAUUGAUCAAUUCAUUUUUAAUGCUUAAACCCAUGACAAUAAUUUUUAGUAUAUGUACUCUUCCUGGAGUUCUUCUAAUAUGGCAUUAAUUUCGUUUGUUAUUUCACUAGAUGUAUUUCCAGCUUGCUUUUCAGCAUGUAAUAUUUUCAAACGAGAAACAAGUUCGUUUGGAUCAUUAAAAUAAAUUACAUUAAAUUUCUUAUUAUUUGAUACCUUGUAUCUGUAAUGAGGCUGAGGAAUGAUGUUAAGGUUAUGUUUGAUUUUAUUUUUCUUCAAUUUUUUUCUAUUUAUAUUCUGACGAUUCGGAUUUUGUAUUGAUGUAGUCCUUGAAGUUUUUUUAGUGUUAUAAGGAUGGCUUGAUUUAUGUCUUUUCAAACCAGAGCCUUUUUUAUUUAUAGAAGAUGGACUCUCUAAAUUUUUGAGUGGUAUUUGAAGUUGACUGUGAUGUUGAGGUUCCUGAUCAAAAACUGUACCCUCAUUUAUUGAGGGGGUGCUAUAAACACUUCUUGUUCUAGGUGUUCUUUCAGGGGUAGAAACAUACAAAUGUCCAACAAGGCUUUUAAGAAAUUGAAAUUUAUCAGAACGACUUCCAACAUUCUUCCAGGCUCCAGAGCUGUUUUUUACAGCAUCUGUACUGUAUAUUAUUUCACGAUAGCUUUCCAAAUCAUCUCCAGUGUACAGAUUUUUAUUUUGAUCAAUUGAUUUACUUGUUAAAAGAUAUUUCAAGCCUGGUGUUAAAUUGUAUGUUUUAUUAUCAUGAGUUAUUAGAUAGUCAUCAACAACUACAACAUUUUUUUUCCCUAUUGUAAAUUCUUCAGUUGUAGGGUUAUAUUUUAAUCCAUAGACACUAUCUGCUAAUGGUGGUAAUCCCUCAAUUGUGAUGGAUGGCUGUGGUGAAGGUGGUGGUUGAAUAAGUGAUGAAUCGUUUAUUAUUUCUUCAAUUUUGGACUGGGACUUGAGAGAUUGUUGAUUUGAUGAUUGAUUAGAUAAUGAAAGAGUCACACGUUUAUUUCCCCCCCUUUUUUUUAGAACUGUUUUUAAAUUUGAUUCAAUAUUUGUAAGAGGUCCAACUAUUGGUUGUAAAUUUUCUUGAACAUGCUGAGCUGUUUGUUCUUUAAUUAAUUUUAAUGCAUUAAAUUUUUCUUUGAUAUCUUUAGCUACUUCUAAAAUUUCACUUUUUUCCUUAAUUUCUUUAUUUAUAUUUGACAUGCUAUCUGUAGAUAUCAUAGUGUAUGUAUUGAAAAAAUUUGAUUAAUAACAGUGUUGAUUCAUUGAUUCAAAAUAAUGAAGUGAUGAAAUGAUGAUCUCAAUUUGCCAUUAUAUACAUUUUUCCCAUCUGUAUCUAUGAUUAUGAAUCCAUAAAUUUUAUUCCACACAUGCUUACAUAUGUUUUGAAAUUUUUCAAAUGAUAUGUUAUCUGCACUCAAAUGAUCAUCAUAAACAUGUUUCAAAUUUAAAGCAUCCUGUUUGAAUAAAACCACAAAAUUUGCAUUGUCUCUAAUAAGUGACUUACUUAUUCUGGCAUAACUCUGACAUAAUAAGAAACAUGAUAUGAAUUUAUGACGACCCAUGGAAAAGUAUUGUCUCAAUUUUUCAUUUGCUUCAUUUGUUGAAGAAAUAUCAUCAAAAAUUACAAUACUAUGACUUUUACAAUUUUCUGGGCUUGGUAAAUCUUCACAAUUUGAGUAACAAUGAAAACCAAUUUCUGGGAUCAAUUUGAACACAUUUUUUAUUUUCUCAUACUUAGUUUGAUAUAAAGUUUUACUGAUCAAAUAUACAUGAUCAAAUUUUAACCCAUUUUUAUGGCACAAUAAAGUUACAAUCAAAUUAGUUUUUCCACACCCUGACUUUCCAACGAUCAACCCUCUAAUUGAAUCAGGAAACAAUAGACCAUGGAUUUUUUGUGAUUUUGACAUUUUUUUUGUCAUUUUAUUUUCAAAAACAGCUAUGUUGGUAGGCAGUUUUGUAGUUUGCUCAAUUAUUUUGAAAUCACCAUUAUUUGAUAACAUUUUGAAAUUUUUCCACCUAUAAUGGGUGAGAAAAGUAUAAAUACUGUUACUUUUCAUCAAGUUAGUUCAUUUAUAUAUGAAUUGUUCAGAGAUAUGUUAGAUCACUCUUCUCAAAAUAAAAGACAUCAAACUGGUGAAGGUUUGAUAAAUACAAUCAUAAAUAAGCUACCAUUUGAAUUGCAUUAUCCAGGCUACAGAUAUUUGGGUCCAGGUACAAAACUUGAAGAAAAGUUGGAUCAAAAUAUUUCUGGAAUAAAUCCUCUAGACGAAGCAGCAAAAUUACAUGACAUUGCCUACUCAAAACAUCAAGACCUGGAAAGUAGACACAAAGCAGAUAAGGAAUUGGAGUAUAAAGCUUGGGACAGAGUUAAAAGUAAAGACUCAAAUUUUUCUGAGAAAGCAGCAGCUUAUUUGACAACAAAUCUUAUGAAGAUUAAAAGAAAAAUUGGAGCAGGGUUGAAAAAAAAAUCCUGCCAGCGUAAAAGAAUCAAUCAAAUCAAUUGUGGUACUCGUAAAAUUAAAGGUAAAGGUUUAACCUUCAAUCAAAUUGUAAACAAGGCCCGCCAAGUUAUUAAAAGGUAUCCUAAAGAUAGUCUUGAAAGUCUGGUUGCCAAGUCAUUAGGUACCGUUAAAAAAUAUAAGGUGAAACAGACACGUUCUCGUGUUAAACGUGUGAUCCCAGUACCUAAGACAGGCGGAGCUAUACCACUCAUACCUAUAUUAUCCGCUUUAUCUCACGUAGGAACGAUAACUGGUGGAAUUUCUUCUGUGUUGAAUGCAAUACGUAAUAUUCGUUCAGUCAUUACAAAUCAAAAAGGUAGCGGAAUCAGUAGUAAAUUUACACCAGUUAGUGUUGGACAAGGUCUUACCAUUGGACCAUAUAAACGAGGUUUUGGUUUAUAUACAUUACGAUGACAAGCAGAUGGGCUUCAAGAUUGCCACCAUCUAACAAACCUUUGGAUUCAACUCAGUUGUGGUAUUUAAUAAAAAAAUUCAAUGUCAAUCACUUUAGAGGAAUAUUUUCUAGAGAUAGUUUACCUAAACAGCCUAGAAAAAUUGAAUGUGGAAUAGUGAAUUUAGAUGCUUAUAAAAACAAGGGAACUCACUGGUGUUGUUAUUAUAAAUAUUACAACACCAUAAUUUGGCAUGACCCCAUUGGAAACAUAUCCCCUCCUUUAGAAAUGAUUAAAUAUUUUAAAAAUAGAAAAAUAAUUUAUAAUCACGAACCUACCCAAAAAAUUAAUUCUGUUAAUUGUGGCCAUAUGUGUAUUAAAUUUCUGAUAGAUAUGAAUAAAAAACCCCUAAAAAAAUGUCAAUUGAUUACUCAGCUAUGUUAGAUAAUUUAAGAUUGUGUAUCAAUUUUAUUGUAAUUUGUUGUCAUGUUGCGAAAUGUUACAUAAAAAAUUGUACAGAAAAUGUUGUUUUUUAUUUUCUUAGUAUGCUUCUGGAUAUUAUACCAAGCUAAUGUGUGUUUUUGUAAUCAUACUUGGUGUAAUUAAAUUUAUGAGCGAUGAUUUUAAAAUCUCAAGUGUUUACUAGUUUAGAAAAUUAUUUUCUUGAAACUGGUCUAUUGCUUAGCACAAAUUUUACCCCAGUUUUACGUAUUAUACAUCAAGCAAAGAAGAAUGAAAUUUUUGUAUGGACGAUUACAACAGAAGAAUGGUUCAUUUUAAUGAGAAAAAACUGUCAAUUUAUGAUGAAAUUUUUCAACACUUCUUGUUCUAUAGCUGACACAGUUGAAAAUGACAUGAAAAUUGGCAGAUAUAAACUACAUUUCAACUUUGAGACUAGGAGUAUUAUUGUUGAGGGAGAUGUAGAAGACAGUCAACCUUUUACACUAACUCAGAGUCUAUUUUUAGAAAUGAUUCAGUACUAUGAUAUUCUGACUUCACAUUAUGAAGUAUUAAAUAAGUAUCAUCUAUAUGCCAAAUUUGUAUUCUCUGAAAUGGUGAAAUUUUUUUUGAAAAAGAAAACCUUCAAAAAUUUCAAUAAAUCAACUCCAUCCUCAAUUACAUAUGAAGAUAUAGCACACAUUGAACCCUCAAAGGUUACAUUAUUUCGCAAUCUAGAUACCAUAUUGUGCAAAUUAAUCUUCACUGAAAUUAAAAUAAUAGCCUCAGAAAAGGUAUAUAAGCAAGUAACUAUAAUAAAGACUUUUUAUUCUAAUGUGUGGUGUGGUAACGAAUAUUUCAUCUCGUUUCUGUAAUAAGUUGAUCAAGAAAUUAAUUUAAAAAUGUGUGCAAAAUUACCAAACGAUAAAAAAAUUGUAUUCUGCGAUUUCUCCUACUACUAUGGAUUAAAUCACACUUUAGUUGUGAAGGAGAUUGCAGCUAUUAGUCUGGAUGGAAGUUUCAGUCUACAUGAAAUUUUGCUUCCUCCAUACAUUCAUUCCUGUGUGAAUUAUGAGCAAAGAAAUGCAAAUGAAUGGUGCACACGAAACUUGGGAAAUAUUCCAUGGAAUUGUGGAUUGAAACCAUAUGACUCAGUUAUGAAUGAUGUCAUGAAGAAAAUCAACAAAUAUAAUCCAACAUUGAUCUAUGUAAAAGGUGUGGAAAAAUGUAAAUAUUUACAAAAUUUAUUGAAUAGCGAACACUUUGCUGAAAAUCCCUUUAACCACACCUCAAAUCAUGAGAAGUUUCCCAUCAUCAAAGAAAUGCAAUCAGAAUUUUUAGAUAUGCCAUGUUUUCCUGAUCUGAGAAAACAGUUCCCAGGAAUAGC